UUUUGUUUUUAAUUUAACAUAACACGCCUCCUUUUCUUGCAGCCCGGGAGUGGAGGUGGGGCUGGGGCUGCAGCCCCGGGACCCGCGCCGGGGCUUCCAGGGACCGGGGUCCGGCUUCCUUCCGGCGCCACUUCUGGGGAGUCCUCAGAGGCGGAGCCCCGCGCGCCGCCUUUGUCUCUCUUCCAGGGGUUGAGCCCCGGCCCCCGCGUCCCUCCCGCGUGCUCCCAGGAGCUGACAUUCAGGAAUUCUGGAGGCUUCCCGGGAUCGAGCUGAGACACCCCCCUCCACACCCAUAAACCACCUGGGAUUCUCAACCAGGAAGCUGCCCUGUCUGCUGCCUCUCGGGUUCGUCACCCUGACCCUCAGGACUUAAGAUGUCGUCGUUGGUCAGGCUUCACAGAGGACAAUAUGGAAGACCUUUGGUAACGAAAAGCAGUAAGCCAUAUAAACCCAUUCUGCCGACUGCUUAUUCUCCCCAAGAGAGCUACUUAAAGGAGGGUGAAGACAUGCUAAGCCGCAUCGAAGAAUUAUGGCGGACCAUGACUGAUUCCAAGGGGAACGAAGAUGACCAGGAGCGAUACUCUCAGUUAG